rnacentral:rRNA from 1 species
UACGGAGGGGCGAGCGUUGUCCGAAGUUACUGGGCGUAAAGGGCGCGUAGGCGGGAGCUAAGUCCGCUGUCAAAGCCCGGGGCUCAACCCCGGAAGGUCGGUGGAGACUGGUUUUCUUGAAGCUGCCAGGGGGAGAUGGAAUUACCGGGUGUAGCGGUGAAAUGCGUAGAUAUCGGUAGGAACACCAGUGGCGAAGGCGGUCUCCCUGGAGCAGACUUGACGCUGAGGCGCGAAAGCUGGGGGAGCGAACGGG